UACGGGGGGGGCAAGCGUUGUUCGGAAUUACUGGGCGUAAAGGGCUCGUAGGCGGCCAACUAAGUCAGACGUGAAAUCCCUCGGCUUAACCGGGGAACUGCGUCUGAUACUGGAUGGCUUGAAUCCGGGAGAGGGAUGCGGAAUUCCAGGUGUAGCGGUGAAAUGCGUAGAGAUGCGGAGGAACACCGAUGGCGAAGGCAGCCCCCUGGGCUGACACUGACGCUCAGGCAGGAAAGCGUGGGGAGCAAACAGG
rnacentral:rRNA from 1 species